rnacentral:rRNA from 1 species
CAGCCGCCGCGGUAAUACGUAGGGGGCGAGCGUUGUCCGGAAUUAUUGGGCGUAAAGCGCGCGCAGGCGGUCCUUUAAGUCUGAUGUGAAAGCCCACGGCUCAACCGUGGAGGGUCAUUGGAAACUGGGGGACUUGAGUGCAGGAGAGGAGAGCGGAAUUCCACGUGUAGCGGUGAAAUGCGUAGAGAUGUGGAGGAACACCAGUGGCGAAGGCGGCUCUCUGGCCUGUAACUGACGCUGAGGCGCGAAAGCGUGGGAAGCAAACAGGAUUAGAUACCCUGGUAGUCCACGCCGUAAACGAUGAGUGCUAAGUGUUAGAGGGGUCACACCCUUUAGUGCUGUAGCUAACGCGAUAAGCACUCCGCCUGGGGAGUACGGCCGCAAGGCUGAAACUUAAAGGAAUUGGCGGG